UUCUGAAGCAUCCAAGCGUGGAGAUGCACAGGGUGGUGCUCAGAGAGCUUGUCAUACUCUCUGAGACAUGAGAGAAGGCAAGAAAAAUGCAGGUCUUGCUGCCAGAGAUCAUGGCCGCCCUGCAGGAUGCCAGCUCAUACAUCAAGAUGAAGACCCUGUUUGUCAUUCAAAACAUCAUGGGCUGCAUGAAAAGGAGACCAGCUCCAUUGCUGUGCAGCACGCUGAGGAGCUCCUGCCUCUCUUUAUGGAUAUAAGAGUUGAGCGCUGAGCGGGUGUCCUCCAUCCAUCUUUACAGAGACAUGGUGUAGGCCAUGGUCUGGUGCCACCAGAGGAGAAUGCCUGGCCUGGUCCCACUGCUCCUUUGGAUGAGUGAUGAGAACCAGGACCUGGCCCAGAGUGCUGGGAAAAGGCUCCUGGCCCUGCCAAGAGGAGGGCAAUCCCAGGUCUCCUUCCUUGGGCCAUGGUGCCAUCUCCCAGCUUCUGCUUCUCUGCGGGCUGCUGGGAGAGCCAUUGUACAAACAGCCAAUCUCCUGCACUGGAACGACUUCCGGGAGCUGGUUGAAAAACAGGAGAUGUGGAGGAUUGCGGAGUGCUAGCUGCAGUGGGACCAGAGUAGGGCAGAGGAAUACCUGCAGCAGAGCCAGCCCUUCCUGUAGGACCCUCAGGUGGCCUUGUGAGAGGAGGCUGUGAGGUUCAUUGGUGUGCCACAGCCCCUUUGUUCUUCUCUUGGCGGUGUUUGGCUGUCCCAGCCACUGCCCUCUGACACUAGGAGCCCCUUGAGCGGAUCCCAGUGCCCUGGUGCCUUGCUCAGGCCCUCCUCGGCCACUCUCGCUGCUGGGGAGCAAUGCAGUUCUGCUGCUGGGAGCAGGAUCUCACAGGUGCUCUGUGCCUAGGGCUUGCUGCGCGCUACUCAAGGGACCUGAGUGAGAAGAAGCUACAGGAUAUCAUCAGGGGUGAGGGCUGUGGUGUUUGUACUGAAGCCUGGGGCAGAGAUCCCCAUGCCUUGUUCUCCUCCAAGGAAAUUCUUGGGGCUGAGGGACAAUACAGAACCAUAGAAUCCUAGGAAGGUUUGCUUUCAAGCAACCUUAUGAAUCACAGCACCAUGGAAUCCUAGUGAUUAGGUGGGAAGGGACCUGAAAGAUCGUGCAGCCAUGAUAUCCCAGGGUGGUCGAAUGGUUAUGUUGGAAUGGAUGUUAAAGGCCACCCAGUUCUAAGCCCUUGCUGUGUCCAGGAUGCCCCCCAGUGGAUCAGAUUGCCCAGGGCCCCAUCCAACCUGGUCUUGAGCAGCUCCGGGGAUGGGGAACCCACGUUUUCUGGGUUGCCUGUGUCAGGGUCUCUCUGCCCUCUGAGGGAAGAACUUUCUCCUAAGUCAGAGUCAAGGGGAAAAAGCAGCAAGGCUGAUAUUGUGGUGGGAACCUAACCUGGCAGCUCAGACCACAUUGAUCCUUGGGACAACCAUGAGGACAGUGACAUCACGACAGAGCCUGCGAGCACUGUGUUGUCUGUUCUGCUGAGCUGCAGCACUCCUCUGACAGCUCUGUCCCUCAGAGGAGCACAGCAAACCCAGUGCCCUGCUGCCCUUCACACUGGGACAUCCCUGUGCAUGCUCAGCAGGCGCCGCCAUUCCUGGCCUCUGCUGCUGGCUGCAGGACAGCACAGUGCAUCCCUCUGCACUCCCAAGGCAUGGCUGACCAAGCUGUUGGCUUGGCUGAGUGAAGAUGUCUCAGGCCACAUAUACGUACCUUGAUUUAAUGUAUGGAAGUAACAAACCUUCUUUUUGUAUAUCCAUGUAUUUAAUAAAAUAUUUUUAAAUAUUAAUAUUUGUGGGCA
rnacentral:lncRNA from 1 species